rnacentral:rRNA from 1 species
GGAAUUUUGGACAAUGGGGGAAACCCUGAUCCAGCGACGCCGCGUGAAGGAUGAAGGUCUUCGGAUUGUAAACUUCUUUUGCCUGGGAAUAACCGCCUCGUGGAAACACGGGGAAUGAAUGUACCAGGCGAAUAAGCCACGGCGAACUUCGUGCCAGCAGCCGCGGUAAUACGAAGGUGGCAAGCGUUACUCGGAAUUACUAGGCGUAAAGGGCAGGUAGGCGGUUUGGUUAGUCUGUUGUGAAAGCUCCCUGCUUAACGGGGAGAGGCCAACGGAUACUGCCAGGCUUGAGUAUAGGAGAGGGUACUGGAAUUCCCGGUGUAGCGGUGAAAUGCGCAGAGAUCGGGAGGAACACCAAUGGCGAAAGCAGGUACCUGGACUAUUACUGACGCUCAGCUGCGAAAGCUAGGGGAGCAAAC